AGCUACAUGGCGCAGUGGCAGCACAUCAAGCUUAUGGCCUGAACAUCCUCCCGUUCGAGUCGGGAUGAAGCUG